rnacentral:rRNA from 1 species
GACGAACGCUGGCGGCGUGCCUAACACAUGCAAGUCGAACGGAGUGAAGCCCUUCGGGACUUUACUUAGUGGCGGACGGGUGAGUAACGCGUGGAUAACCUGCCAUACACUGGGGGAUAACAGCUGGAAACAGCUGCUAAUACCGCAUAAAACUGUAGAGUCGCAUGACUUUAUAGCCAAAGCUCCGGCGGUGUAUGAUGGAUCCGCGUCUGAUUAGGCAGUUGGCGGGUAACGGCCCACCAAACCGACGAUCAGUAGCCGACCUGAGAGGGUGACCGGCCACAUUGGGACUGAGACACGGCCCAGACUCCUACGGGAGGCAGCAGUGGGGAAUAUUGCACAAUGGGCGAAAGCCUGAUGCAGCAACGCCGCGUGAGGGAAGACGGUUUUCGGAUUGUAAACCUCUGUUUUCGGUGACGAACAAAUGACGGUAACCGAGUAGGAAGCCACGGCUAACUACGUG